UAAGGGGUUACCUGCGGAGGGAUCAUUA
rnacentral:rRNA from 1 species